rnacentral:misc_RNA from 1 species
UUACAUAAUGGUUCUUUCCGGGUAUGAUUCGGUUCAUGCGCACACGUCGUGUGCAUUCGCCAUGUUCUUCAGAAGCAAAGAUGGCCGCCUGUCGAUGUAAACCUGGUCCAUGUGUAGCUCCAAAAGUGUGCCCAAAACUCCACAUUUCUGUCCUAUGAUGUUCAGCUCUUCAAUGCCUAUUGGAAUCGUCUUCAUUUGGCGAUCAAAUUCGAGGGAUUGUCAAAUUCUGGACUGGCCAAAACACAAGACGGUUUGUUCCAGAAAGGUAUCUUCCUGCAGCAAAACACUGGACACGGA